AUGUUUUAUAUGACACAUUCUACCAGUGUCCCAAGUUUCAAAGUGUUUCGUUAGUGUUUCGUUAAGAAAAUACUGGUGCCCCCAUUUUAAAAUAGAUCCCAUGUAUGUACACAUAUGCACACACACACACAUGUGUAUAAUUAUAAUGUAUAUUUAUCUCAUUCAAUGAUAAAUAGCGUUGAUAGAUGUAAGUACCAGUGAAAAAGCUGAUAAACGGGUGUUUAAACAGUUUGUCUUGAAUAUUCUGUGAGUUCUACAAACAUUCCCUUCUCUCUCUUGUCAUCAAAACUUCAAUGAAUCACAGACUGGUCCAUUGAAAACCCAUAACAAACAAUGCUGUUCACAGGAUGUAAUAUAAAUAAAUAACCCUCCGAUGAGAUCUUAAUAAGGCAGAAACAUGUCCAGAGUUAUUUUCUGUACUUGCUGGAAAAAGAAAAUGAAAACAAUUUUAGUUAUUGACAAUGAUUUCUAGUUAGAUUUUUAUUGCUCCCCUCAUUAGUUGUACCAGAUAUAUUAACGCUAAUUUCACUGUUGACUGACCAGAUUCAUAGCCUUGUAAUUUAAGUGGAACGGUUUAUUUUCAAAAUCCAAAUCCAAGAUCAUCAGAGAUUUGACUUUCCAAUAACUUAUUCACCACAUUGUGAUCCUUGCAUGGAAAACUGAUUUCAGUCUUUGGCACCAGAAUGUCAGUGUUUUUAAUGGUUUUGUGAUAAAUUUGGUCCUCAUGUUUGUGUUGUUAUUUUUUUUUCUUUUUGACAAUUCCAGAGGAAUGAAAAGUAUUGUAAAAUCAAGAGUGUGUGUCAUGGAUGGAAUUAAAUCUUGUAUCUCGUUCAGCAUGUCACAAUGACCUAUCCUCUCUGUUUGUGUAUAAAAUAUUGGAUUGUCUUUUAAAAGAGUUUGAAGACCAAGUCUUGUAGAGAACUGAUGUGUUUCUUUGAAAUGUAUUUUGUUAGUGAUAUUCCUUUAAUCAACCCUGGAGGGGAUGAAAGACAAAAUCAACCCUAGUAGGAUUUGAUCUCAAAUGAGGACAAAACUAAAGGCUAUAAUGAGCAAAUGAGUGAUCCUUUAUAUGGUUUUUCAGUCUGCUAGAAAUAGCAAGUAAAUGUCCUUAAAAUCUUACCAUAUUUUCUUUAAAUAUGACACAUUCAAUAUUGUAGUUGUAAAUACAUUUUGUUGAAAAAUGACAGGUUGGACAUGGGUGGGGUGCUAUUGAUCUUAGGUUUACUCAUUCAGGAUUGAUGUGGAACCGAAAUGGUAGCUAAUGCUCAACAUCACAGCCUUUGUUGGUAUGAAAUAUUGGUUUCAAAUUUUGGCACAAGGCCAACAAUUUGGUGUUGGUGGGCAGGAUAAGUCGAUUAUAUCAAUGCCAGUGCUCAACUGGUACUUAUUUUAUCAACCCUGAAAAGAUGAAAGGCAAAGUCAACCUCGGCAGAAUUUGAACAUAAUGACUGACGAAAUGCUGCUAUGGAUUCUGCUAGUUCUAUUGCCAUAUUGGUAUAAAAUAUUAAAAGAUAAUGUAGACCAAAGAUGUUUCAGUUUAAAGCAUAUUUGAUGGUUAAUAUUUGUGAAAAAAAAAAAAGGACAAAAACAGCAAGAAAUGUUUUCUAAUUCCCCUAAAAACUUAAGAUUUUGAGGGUUUGUAUUGUCUAAAUCUGAAGCAACUAAUUCACAUAAAAAGUUGUAUCAUAUAUGAUGUAGUCACCGGAGGAAAAGCAGUGUCCAUGAAUCUUUUUAAGGUUCAUGAGAUUGGUAGGAGAAAGGGAGAAACUGUUCUCUAACUGAAGAUCUGGCCUUGUAACAGUGAACCCUGCUAAAUGUACCCAAUGUACCAGGCCAAAGGGUAUUAAACUAGGUGACAGAUCAAUCCCUGUGAUGGGCUUUUACGUUGUGUCUAUACCAAAUUUAACUGACAAACCUUUGGUCAGCCUGAGGCUAUAGUAGAAGGUACUUGCCCAAGGUGUUGUCAUGCAGUGGGACUGAACCUGGAACCUGUCCUGGUGAAAUGAGCUUCUGAAACACACAACCAUACUUCUUCACUCUAAAUAAAAUUAUUCCAAUUUUAGAGACUGAUGAUGCCCUCAUCAUCAUCAUCUUUUUUUAAUGUUCAUUUUCCAUGCUGGCAUGGGUUGGAUGGUUUGACCAAAGCUGGCGACUUGGACCAGGCUCUAGUCAUAUUUGACUUUGGUUCUAUGGUUGGAUGCUUUUCCUAAUAUCAACCCCUUUACAGAGUGUGUUGGGUGCUUUAUACAUGGCACCAACACAGGUGCACCUUAUGUGGCAAUGGCACUGAGGCACUUUAUGUGGCCCCAGCACUGGCAUGGAUAAUAUUUAUGUGGCCCCAGCACCAUCAUUUCAAAUGCAAAAUGCUGUCUUUCAUUUAUUUAUAUGUAUUUAUCUAUACACAAGUCUGGGUAACCUGCAGGAUGAUCUUCAGGGAUCAGAGGUACCCAGCAGUGAAUCAUCGAUCAGCGUCAGGGAACAACUGUAGAAUUUAUUGACUCCAAUAUUUUACUGGUACUUAUUUUCGCAAACCACAAAAGGGCAAAAAGCAAUGUUGUCUUUUGCUGAAUUUGAACUCAGACCCUAAAGAACCACAAUUAAAUACUAAAAGGUCAUUUGUCUUAUUUCAUUUAUCUAUAUUAAUUAAUAUUCAGGCAAAUAUCUAAUAAGUGAAGAAUAUGGUCUUGUAGUCCUAUUGUUUACCUCAACCAAUAAUUCUGAUUCAUUGUCCACAACAUUUUUUUUUUUUCACCAUUUCAAAUAAAAAUAGAAUUAAUUUAACAAAUAUUACUUUUUAAUUAAUCAAGACUGUCGUUGGUAAUUAAAUCUCUAUUACGGCAUUUUCUGUUGAUUAUUGGUGUCUUUUGUGGAAAGGCUGGUGCAAGCUUUUAAUGGAGUUUAGUGCAUCUGCAUGGAGUUGGUUCAUUUAAUGGAGUUGGUCUAUAUGCAUGCCUUGAGUCCUUUCAGCUGCAUGAUGACAAUUAUCCAUUACCAUCAUCUUUUAAUCUCACUUGUAACAUCUUUUUGAUGUCUCUUGGUACCCUCCUUCAUUCUUCUCUUAUUUUUCAACCUCUUUAAGCGUGCUCCAACGGAUUCAGAUGAUGAAGCAUUGUACCAGCAUCUAACUGCUGAUUCCCGACAGACAGAACCCGUUAAGCCAUUUGUUGCCAAUGUUCUGAAGAAUGAUUCCAAAGGCGAUGCCAGGCAGGUAGACUCUGUUCGAAGCAAUACCAAUAAUUAUGGUGCCAUUGUCUCCACAGACACAGGAAACUUGAUUGACGGAUGAUCUCCACAAUGACAUUUACAUGGAACUGAUCUUUUAUUCUUUCUGUUUCUCAUUUCUAAGUUCUAUUUCUAACUUUUUUUUUUUUUUUUUGGUGUGAAUUCUUAAGUUGUUUUAAUUUAUUGAAGAGACAAAAGAGAGGAAAGAAAAAGCAAAAUAACAAAAAAAACCUCAAACAUUUUUACAUUAAAAAAAAAUCAAAAUAUUUCAUUUAUAUUUAUUAAUUAGUUAUUUACAUGUUGCUAAAUUACUUUUCCUCUUUUGUUUGUACAUCUCUACUUCUCUCUCCCUCUCUCUCUCAUUUAAAAUCAAUUUCUUGCUUUACAAUUGAUUUGUUCUGCAUUUCACUCAAUUUCUCAAAUCUAUUUUUUUACAAAUUUUAUUCUUCGUUAGUUGUUGCAGGUUCUUUUUACUUAAGCACCUCGUUAGUUAUCUAUUCAUUUUAGAUUUUUUUUUUGUUGUUUUUGCAAUUUUACAUUUUGUUAGUUUCUUCCAGAAAUAUCAAUAAAGCACUCAAUGAAAUCA